rnacentral:rRNA from 1 species
GACUCGUCACACUAUCAUUAACUGAAUCCAUAGGUUAAUGAGGCGAACCGGGGGAACUGAAACAUCUAAGUACCCCGAGGAAAAGAAAUCAACCGAGAUUCCCCCAGUAGCGGCGAGCGAACGGGGAGGAGCCCAGAGCCUGAAUCAGCAUGUGUGUUAGUGGAAGCGUCUGGAAAGGCGCGCGAUACAGGGUGACAGCCCCGUACACAAAAGCGCAUGUGCUGUGAGCUCGAUGAGUAGGGCGGGACACGUGGUA